UACAGAGGCGCCAGUUCUAGGCCGAUGGCACUACACCUGUUCGUACCUGGUCCUGCCCUGGCACCUGGCUCUGUCUGACCCUGGGGAUAGCUCUGGUGACUCUGCUCUGCUCUGUCCUAGGCCUGCCACUUGCUAAGGGGAUGGGCACAGGAAAACGUCCUCAGAAUAUUCAAGGGAGAAGUUAACCACGGUGUCAGGAAUGAACUGAGGUCAGUUAUACCAGCCCACCAUGUCCCUGUGGUUUACCACCAUUCCCAAAGCAAAGGGGUCAGCGCUAAGGGUGCAGCUGUAUGUCUGUCUUGUCAGGGAAGAUUUUAACUGCUAAGGCUGAGCAGAAGAGUGGCUGCUCCUGGCUCUGGGAGGUGGGUCAACGGCCACCUUCAAGAGUUUUGCCAUAAGUGGCAGCAUGUGGCUGUUCCAUGCUCAGAGAGAUCAGGGGCUUUCCUUCCUUCUGUUGAGCUCCCGCUGUCCGGGGUUUGCUCUGCACACCCGCCUUCCACUGUUAUUUCUGCCUUGUUGCUGCCGGGAGCUCUCGCACCGCCCGCCCACUGCUCCCUCCUUUUCCUGAAGCCGUGGACAGCCUUCCAGUUCUGCUGCUCUCAGAAUGCCCGGAUCUUGUCCCCGCUGAAGAAGACUACUUCAGAGUCUUGUCAUCUCAGCUACAAAGUGAUACUCAGGGUUUCUCUGCUUCCACUUUCUCACACUUUGAGUUCACAGCCAGAAUUAUCUUUCUUGCAACACUAUUCGCAAAAGCAAAAUUAUGAAACAGACA
rnacentral:lncRNA from 1 species